ensembl:snRNA U6 U6 spliceosomal RNA
CUGCUUCAGCAGCAGAUAUACUAAAAUUGGAACGAUACGGAGAAAAUUAGCAUGACCCUUGUGCAAGGAUGACACGCAAAUUUGUGAAGCACUCCAUAUUAAA